rnacentral:rRNA from 1 species
AAUGAACGUUGGCGGCGUGGAUUAGGCAUGCAAGUCGAGCGAGAACCCCGCAAGGGGGGACAGCGGCAAACGGGGUAGUAAUGUGUCGGAACGUGCCCUCUGGACGGGGAUAGCGGCAGGAAACUGCCGGUAAUACCCGAUGAUCUCGAGAGAGCAAAGGUGUGAUUCCGCCGGAGGAGCGGCCGACAUGGUAUUAGCUAGUUGGCGGGGUAACGGCCCACCAAGGCUGUGAUGCCUAGGGGAUGUGAGAGCAUGAUCCCCACCAUUGGGACUGAGACACUGCCCAGACACCUACGGGUGGCUGCAGUCGAGAAUCUUCGUCAAUGGGCGAAAGCCUGAACGAGCGACGCCGCGUGCGGGAUGAAGGCCCUUGGGUUGUAAACCGCUGUCGAGGGGGAUGAAGGUCUUCAGGUACUCCUGAAGAUUUGACAGAGCCCUGGAGGAAGCACGGGCUAAGUUCGUGCCAGCCGCCGCCGUAAUAC